GACGAACGCUGGCGGCGUGCUUAACACAUGCAAGUCGAACGGAAAGGCCCUGCUUUUGUUGUGUGCUCGAGUGGCGAACGGGUGAGUAACACGUGAGUAACCUGCCCUUGCCUUUGGGAUAACUUCAGGAAACUGGGGCUAAUACCGGAUAUGAGCUCCUGCUGCAUGGUGUGGGUUGGAAAGUGUCGGCGGUUGGGGAUGGAGUCGGGGCUUAUCAGCUUGUUUGUGGGGUAGUGGCUUACCAAGGCUUUGACGGGUAGCCGGCCUGAGAGGGUGACCGGCCACAUUGGGACUGAGAUACGGCCCAGAAUCCUACGGGAGGCAGCAGUGGGGAAUAUUGCACAAUGGCCGGAAGCCUGAUGCAGCAACGCCGCGUGCGGGAUGACGGCCUUCGGGUUGUAAACCGCUUUCGCCUGUGACGAAGCGUGAGUGACGGUAAUGGGUAAAGAAGCACCGGCUAACUACGUG
rnacentral:rRNA from 1 species